rnacentral:lncRNA from 1 species
AUGGUCAAAUCCUGGGAAAUCUGGGGCCAAAUCCCAGGAAAUCCACGGUCAAAUCCCAGAAAAUUUGUGGACAAAUCCUGGGAAAUCUGGGGCCAAAUCCCGGGAAAUCCCUGGGUGAAUCCCGGGAAAUCCCCGGGUGAAUCCCGGGAAAUUCAUGGUCAAAUCCCGGGAAAUCCAUGGUCGAAUCCCGGGAAAUCCGUUGGAAUUCCCAUUCCCGGAGCAGCUCCCGGAUCACCGGGAUUCCAUCGUGGAAUUCCCGGCUCUUCCCGCUUUUCCCGGCCCCUCCGGAAGCGGCGGCUCCGUGGAAUUCCCAACCCUCCAAAUCCCAUUUUUCCCAUUUCCCUCUCCCGCUUUUCCCGUUUUUCCUUGGAUUUUUUCCCCCAAUUCCCUCCUUUCCCCUCCCCCCCCGCUGGAAAUUCCGGAUUAUCCCAAAUAAACUUUUUUUGGAAUGCAGCAGGGCUGGAAUUUUCCUUGGAAAACCUCGGGAUCUUCGCGAAUUCCCGGGAAUUUCCCUUUCCCGGCGCUUCGGAUUCCCGGGAAAAACAACCCCAAAGGGAUUUUUCCCAUUUUUUCCCCGUUUUUAAGUGGGAAUUCCCCCAAAGCCGCUCCGGCAGCUCCGAGGUCCCGGAUGUUGCGUUCCCCAUCCCAAACUUUGGGAAUUCCUCCUUCCUCCUCUUCCUGCUUUUCCGUGGAUGUGGAGCGUUCCCGAUCCUGAUCCCAAUCCAAAUUCCCUUCCCGAUCCUGAUCCAAAUCCUGAUCCAAAUCCUGAUCCCAACUCCCUUCCCAAUCCCGAUCCUGAUCUCAAUCCUGAUCCCAAUCCAAAUUCCCUUCCCAAUCCUGAUCCAAAUCCUGAUCCAAAUCCUGAUCCCAAUUCCCUUCCCAAUCCCAAUCCUGAUCCAAAUCCUGAUCCAAAUCCUGAUCCAAAUUCCCUUCCCGAUCCCGAUCCAAAUCCUGAUCCAAAUCCUGAUCCUGAUCCCAAUUCCAAUCCCAAUCCUGAUCCUGAUCCCAUUCCCAGUCCUGAUCUCAAUCCUGAUCCUGAUCCUGAUCCCAAUCCAAAUUCCCUUCCCAAUCCUGAUCCAAAUCCUGAUCCCAAUCCCGAUCCUGAUCCCAUUCCCGAUCCCGAUCCUGUUCCCAUUCCCAAUCUCAAUCUCAAUCCUGAUCUUGAUCCCAUUCCCAAUCCCGAUCCCAAUCCCGAUCCUGAUCCCGAUCCUGAUCCAAAUCCCAAUUCCCAGUCCUGGUCUCAAUCCUGAUCUUGAUCCCAAUUCCCAUUCCCAAUCCUGA